UACGAACCGUACGAACGUUAUUCGGAAUCACUGGGCUUAAAGGGUGCGUAGGCGGCGCGGAAAGUUGGGUGUGAAAUCCCUCGGCUCAACCGAGGAACUGCGUCCAAAACUGCCGUGCUCGAGGGAGACAGAGGUGAGCGGAACUUAGGGUGGAGCGGUGAAAUGCGUUGAUAUCCUAAGGAACACCGGUGGCGAAAGCGGCGCACUGGGUCUCUUCUGACGCUGAGGCACGAAAGCUAGGGUAGCGAACGGG
rnacentral:rRNA from 1 species